GACGAACCGAGCGAACGUUAUUCGGAAUCAUUGGGCGUAAAGAGCGCGUAGGCGGCCCGGUAAGUCCGCUGUGAAAGUCAAAGGCUCAACCUUUGAAUGUCAGCGGAUACUGCCGGGCUAGAGUCCGGAAGAGGCGAGUGGAACUCCUGGUGUAGCGGUGGAAUGCGCAGAUAUCAGGAAGAACACCAACGGCGAAGGCAGCUCGCUGGGACGGAACUGACGCUGAGGCGCGAAAGCGUGGGGAGCGAACAGG
rnacentral:rRNA from 1 species